GGUGUGCCAAUUAAGAAAUAGAAGAACCCCAUAAAGAAAAGAGCUUUUGUGCAGCAUGUGAAUUGCCACAGAGAGACUAACGUGUUUAUUAGCUUUGACACAGCAAACAAACAAGCAGCACUGAGCCUUCAGCUCUGAAGAGAAGUAGUGCCUGACAUCUAUAAGAGGAACCUCAUCAUCCUGAACUUCAUCUACCCCCGGAACUCACAUCUCCUCAGGAGACCAUCCUCUUUUUGACUGGGUAGGGUGGAAGGUAGAUUUCUCUAUUUAAGAACAGCACCCAGUGAAGCCAUCUCUUCACUUCCCACCCAGCUGCAUCAAGUGUGGUCAUCAGUUACCUUACCAGCAUGUAUUCAAAGAUGUUGCGUCUAAGCCAACCAACCUCUCCUCUCCAGACCAACUCCUACUCAGAAGGUAGAGAUUCUACAGAGCUUAAAGAAACAGCGAUGCCUCUCAAGUUUUCCAGUGACGCAAGUACCCUUGAUUGCAUGGUCAUACUGAAGAACACCAGGACAUAACCUUUGGGGGCAGUUAAUAAAAAAGAAAGCACUUAAUAAAAUAUUUUUAAUUUA